rnacentral:rRNA from 1 species
UGGGCGUAAAGCGCGCGUAGGCGGUUUUGCAAGCCAGAGGUGAAAUGCCUGAGCUCAACUUAGGAAUUGCCUUUGGGACUGCGAGGCUUUGAGGACUGGAGAGGUGAGUGGAAUUCCCAGUGUAGAGGUGAAAUUCGUAGAUAUUGGGAAGAACACCAGUGGCGAAGGCGGCUCACUGGCCAGUUUCUGACGCUGCAGCGCGAAAGCGUGGGGAUCAAACAGGAUUAGAUACCCUGGUAGUCCACGCCCUAAACGAUGCGAACUAGGUGUUGGGGAAGGAGACUUCUUUAGUACCGUAGCUAACGCGUGAAGUUCGCCGCCUGGGGAGUACGGUCGCAAGAUUAAAACUCAAAGGAAUUGACGGGGACCCGCACAAGCGGUGGAUGAUGGGGAUUAAUUCGAUGCAACGCGAAACACCUUACCUACCCUUGACAUGCCCGGAACCCUGGUGAGAGCUGGGGGUGCCCGAAAGGGAAUCGGGACACAGGUGCUGCAUGGCUGUCGUCAGCUCGUGUCGUGAGAUGUUGGGUUAAGUCCCGCAACGAGCGCAACCCUUGUCAUUAAUUGCCAUCAUUGGGUUGGGCACUUUAAUGAGACUGCCGGUGACAAACCGGAGGAAGGUGGGGAUGACGUCAAGUCCUCAUGGCCCUUAUGGGUAGGGCUUCACACGUCAUACAAUGGUCGGUACAGAGGGUUGCCAACCCGCGAGGGGGAGCCAAUCCCAGAAAGCCGAUCGUAGUCCGGAUCGGAGUCUGCAACUCGACUCCGUGAAGUCGGAAUCGCUAGUAAUCGCGGAUCAGCAUGUCGCG